GGUUAAGCGACUAAGCGUACACGGUGGAUGCCCUGGCAGUCAGAGGCGAUGAAGGGCGUGCUAAUCUGCGAUAAGCGCCGGUAAGGUGAUAUGAACCGUUAUAACCGGCGAUACCCGAAUGGGGAAACCCAGUGUGACUCGUCACACUAUCAUUAACUGAAUCCAUAGGUUAAUGAGGCGAACCGGGGGAACUGAAACAUCUAAGUACCCCGAGGAAAAGAAAUCAACCGAGAUUCCCCCAGUAGCGGCGAGCGAACGGGGAGGAGCCCAGAGCCUGAAUCAGCAUGUGUGUUAGUGGAAGCGUCUGGAAAGGCGCGCGAUACAGGGUGACAGCCCCGUACACAAAAGCGCAUGUGCUGUGAGCUCGAUGAGUAGGGCGGGACACGUGGUAUCCUGUCUGAAUAUGGGGGGACCAUCCUCCAAGGCUAAAUACUCCUGACUGACCGAUAGUGAACCAGUACCGUGAGGGAAAGGCGAAAAGAACCCCGGCGAGGGGAGUGAAAAAGAACCUGAAACCGUGUACGUACAAGCAGUGGGAGCACAGGUUUACCUGUGUGACUGCGUACCUUUUGUAUAAUGGGUCAGCGACUUAUAUUCUGUAGCAAGGUUAACCGUAUAGGGGAGCCGUAGGGAAACC
rnacentral:rRNA from 1 species